AAUAGUUAUGAGAAAGUUUUUCACGAUCGUUCCGUUUUAAAUAAUUCGCUGUUUGCGCAACGUGGAGUUAUACUAAAUCAUUCACAGAAUAUUACAAACAUCCAAAUUUCUAUUGGGAAUUUAUUACUCGAUUCUACACGAGAUUUUCGAAAUUUUCUAAUUUCCUUCCAUUGGGCGAAACACACGUGAGACAGCGGGUAAUAUCAGGUAGCGUGAGAGUUGAGAGUCUACCUGUGACGUAAGUACUGACCACAGAACAAUUAAAAAAUACCGUUUCCAUGCAAACGUACAUACCUGUUAUUAUAAAAGGGAAAAAUGUUUCGAGAAAUUUUCGAAGAAGUUUUAAGGAAUAUAAAACCAUAAAGUUCCGUACGAUACAUUAUUCUCGUUGCCAGAGGAGACGAUGGACAAGUUAUAAGAAGUAGACCUGCUCCAAUAGCCAAGCAGGUAAGAUGAGCUUACAAACACGUUGUGACUUGUUCCCAACAGCUAUUACAUGCGCUCUGAGAAGUAGAAGUCCAUACGUAUCAGACAGCAGAGAUAAGUGCACUCGCAGAUAAUACACAAAAAUAUAACAAGGAUGCCUGUGCAAGCGUAAGCCACAUAGGAUUUAAAAACACAGCAUAUACUUUAAAUGCAUAAAAAAAGCAACACAUAAUCCAAAAGAUAAAACACAGAUUACCCAUAACAAAACCACUAGACCAGUUGAUACCACAAUGAACCAAACAAUAAAUCUCAACCUUGAAGAUAUACAUCCAACAAAUAUUUCAAAAAAAAAGUUCCAGGAAAGAUGGGUAGUAAUCCAAUCCAAAAGAGAAAAGAAAGCAACAACUUUAUCAAACAAAAAUCUGAAGAAAAAUGAAACAUUGAAGAAAAACGAAAACAAUCUCAAUCCAUUCUUGCUAUCUGCAGCUGAUAAUACAGGUAACUAUGACAACAACAGUGUUACAUUUAACAGAUUUGAAAUUCUAUAGAGUGUAGCUGAUGACACAGCAAUGGAAGCAGAACCGAAACCUAGAAAACCACAACCAAUCAUAAUACCCAAUGUCAGCAAUAUCCAAAAACUAUCUGAAAUGCUAACAAAGCUAGAGGUAAAUUAUGGGUAUAAAAUUGAAAGAAACAAUACAAUUAGAAUCCAGCCAGUGACUAUACAUGACUAUAGAAAAGUUAGACAAGAACUAGAACAACUAGGAGUAGAAUACAACACAUUCCAACUAAAAAAGGACAGACCAUUCAGAAUGGUAAUCAGAAAUUUACACCCAACAACAGAGCCGAAGGAAAUUGCAGAAGAAUUAAAAGCAUUGGGAUAUGAAACGUCAAAAUGACCAUACAAUGUUAAACAUAAAGUCAUAAAACAACCUCUACCAAUCUUCUUUGUAGAUCUAAUACGUAGUGCGGUCCAUAAGUUCGUGACUUAACAUAGAAGAAAAGAUUGGUAAAGAAAAACACUUAUCUUAUUUCUCAAUAUAGUCACCCUUUAUUUCAAUACAUUUUUUACACCUUUAGAUAAUUGCAUCUAUACCGCUGUAAAAGUAGUCUGAAGUUUUGUUUCUAAAAUGUUCGUUGACGGUUUCCUUCACCUUUUCAUCGGUGCCAAAUUUCCUUCCCCUGAGAUCCGCUUUUAAUUUUGAAAAUAAAAAAUAAUCGCUAGGAGCUGAAUCUGGACUGUACGGUGGAUGGUUUAUUUCAGUAAAGCGUAAUUUGCGAACGGUAGAUUUUUUGUUAGAGCAGCAACGCGGCUAAUUUUUCCCCUGCGUUUUUGAACAAUGACUUUACGCAAUUGGUGCAAAAGGUUAGAGUAAUAUUCGGCAUUCACAGCGGUGUUUGGCUGCUUGAAAUCUAUAAAAAGAAUACUCUCGCAAUCCCAGAAAAUUGUGGCCAUAAUCUUUUUUUUACUUUGUGUGACUUUCGCUUUCUUGGGUGCUGGUUCUCCCUUCUUAUGCCAUUCUAUCGAAUCCCUUUUUGAUGUUGGAUCAUAAUACAACACCAUUGUUUCAUCACCAGUUACUAUUGACUUGAUAACACCUUGCUUAUCCACUUCACACAGCUGCAAAAAUUCUCUACAGCACCUCACCCUCUGCUGCUUUUGGACAGCACUUAAAAUUCGUGACACUCACCGUGCACUAAUUUUUGACAUUCCUAGAUGGUCAUGAAGGAUACGAAGAACAGUUGUCUUGGAAAGCGUUGCCCUUUUUGCAAUUUCCUUCGUCUUUAAUCGACGAUUACUCAGAACAAUUUCCUCCACUAACUUCACGUUUUCUGGUAUGGCCUCGUUAACCGGUCGACUACUGCGUGGGUCAUCUUCGAUUGACUCUCUUCCCCAACGAAAUAACUUCGACCAAUUUUUGAUCAGACUGUACGACGAUGCAGAGUCGCUAUAAACAUUAUCCAUCCUUUCCUUGAUCUGGUUUGGCGUUAAUCCUUCUAUAGUUAAAAAUUUAAUUACCGCACGAUGUUCAAGUUUUUCCAUUUUUUUCUUCUCCUCGCCAACUUGCACUUGCUUUUUCGUCUGUUGCUCGGAAACUGAUGUUCGCAUCGCAACUAAACUACGUAUGCAUAUUAAUAAAACAUAGAAGUUCUUUGACGUAAUAAUCAUUCGGUAAAAUUUGCGACGGAAAUAUCUUAGGUCACGAACUUAUGGACCGCACUACGUAUGUAUUAGAUACGCUUCAAAAUACCAAAAUUACAAUAGAACCUCUUAGAAUAAGAAAAGAACUAGUACAAUGUGAUGGCGCACUGUGCGACUCGUUACAAUGAAUCGAAAGUACGCUGUGUUUAGUUUCUUAAGAUCCGACUCGAAGAAUAAACUUGAUAAAUAAUCCGUCGUGCACUGUGCAAAGAAUCAAUAUAAUUGUAAGUAUAACAAACUUAACAGCAAGGAUACAAGGAUAACAAUGAUGUAGAUGUUGAUUUGACGUAUCGAAAGUCCAGAAUGCAGGUGACCACGUAAUAUACAAGAGUCCUCUCGUCAAUAUUACAAGAGUCACCCGGAGAAAUCUCUGUCGUUCGUCCGUACGACUUUGAAUAUCUGUAAUUGCGGCCCAAGACAGCUCCCUUUAAAGCUGUGCUUGGCAAAGUGAUGACUCCUAAUUGGUGGAUUCUGUUUUUUUGUGAUCGGCAAGGAGGCGGUCGUUAGAUGAAACACACGCCUCCAACGUAACGGUCAUCUUCAGUCGUGGCGUGACGUAUUCGGGAAUUCCUAAAAUCCUGAUUUUGGUGCUGUUUUAAAAGGUACUGCAACAAAAUAAAACUACAUCGUCCUAUACCUGUUUGCGCGUUCAGGUUUACAAUUUCGAACGGUUUACAAUUUACUACAGCAAUUUACCUGUCAUAAACCGACUGCAAUAAACCCCUAAAUAAAAUCUAAACACAAUGUAAAAGAUGUAAAAGACACGGGCAUAUACAAAAAUACUGCACUAGAACUCCUAGAUGCGUUAAAUGUACCAAAUAUCAUCCCCCAACUGGAUGUGGAAGGAAUAACAGAGAUAAAAACAUUAGAUGCACUAAUUGUGGAGAAAAGUAUCCUGCAAACUACAAAGGCUGCGUGGCAUAUACUACUGCUUGGAAAAGGAAAUAUAAAUCACAACACUCAACAACCAUAUGAAACACAUGCUAAAACCCAACAAUACUUAAGGAAAGGCUUAUCCUAUGCAAGUGUAAUCAAACAACAAUCAAGGUUAUGCUAGUAACGGUGAUCUACACAAAUCAAAUUAAUCCACAAGUCUGAGAAACCUCCAGAAGAAGUUACUUCUUAUAGACCAAUAAGUUUACUACCUAUUGUCUCCAAACUAUUUGAAAAACUGCUAAUUUACAGACUAAAAUCUGCAAUAAACAAACUAAUUCCAAAACACGAAUUUGGAUUUCAACAAUAACACGCCACCAUAGAGCAAGUACAUAGACUGGCUAACAAAAUCAGGAGAGAUCUAAAAGACAGGAGAUACUAUCAGGGCUUUAUCUACCCCUAAGCAGAUUUUAUUAGGAGUCCCACAAGGUAGUGCCCUAGGACCACUGGUAUAUACUAUUUACACAUCAAACUUUCUGAUGAUGAACAACACUUUCAUUGCUACUUUAGCCGAUGGUACGGUCAUCCUAGCCUCUGACCUAUAUCUACAAGAAACCUCAAACAAACUACAACAACACCUCAUUAAAAUAGAACAAUGGAUGAAAAUAUGAGGAUCAAAAUUAACACUACUAAAUUCAUACAGGUCACCUUCACAACCAGAAAAAAACAUGUCCACCUGUAAAACUAAACAACGAACCAUUACCACAGGAAGAGACAAUUAAAUAUCUCGGGCUACACUUAGACAGAAAACUUUUAUGGAAAACGCACAUCUGUAAAAAAGUAGGACAACAGAACAAAUGAUAUAGGAAACUUUGGUGGCUAAUUGGAACAAAAUCACAACUAACACCCUACAGUAAACUUUUACUAUACAAAACUAUCCUCAAACUGAUAUGGUCAUACGCCUGCCAGUUGUGGGGAACAGCAUCAACCUCAAACAUAAACACAAUAGAGAGAUGGUAAAACAAAAAACUGAGGUCCAUUUUGAACAUGAAAUGGUAUAUCCCAAACAAACAAAUAUACAAGGAAACCAGGAUACCCACCGUCAAAGAGGAAAUUGCAAAACAAAGCAGAUCAUAUCAACAAAGACUGAAAAAUCACCCCAACAACCAGGCCACAAAACUAUUAGACAUCUCAGACGAACGUGGAAGACUCAGGAGACAUCACUUCCUACAGCUACCAUACAGAUUUAGUGAUAUAAACUAAAUUUGCCAUAGUAAUGCACCAGCGGGUGUAUUCACGCUAAUACCUUUCAAUCCCCAAAAUAAGUGUUAAAUAUUAUUAAAUGAUAGAUUGCACAUAUACAGAAGUUAUAAUAAAAAAAACUUGUGCAGGUAAAAUAGAGGCGCACGUUCCAAGUAUCAUGUCAUUAUGCUGUGAUGAAAAACAUUUUAUUGUAUACAUACAAUACGUUACUCACGUCAGCCAAGCCGACCUGUGACUCAGAAGUGAAGAAGGGCAAGAGGACUCGACCACACGCUUCACCUCAGCUCGCGGCUCGGCCAUUAAUAAAGACAAAACUAAUUUCGCCAUUAGUAUCGGACCGAGCGCUGUGAGUGGACGUCUCCCCUUACACCUCUUCACUUUUAAGCCACAGGCCGACUUGGUCAGCAUGAGUACCGUACAGUAGGUCUCCUUUACUCAUGUUUCGCUGGAGUUUUUGCUCCCAACCAUGCCAGAACUCCUGAUUCAUGCAUUGGCUCCACUUCAGUUCUAAGCGAACGGCAUGUGGUCGAAAUUGUUUUACGACAGCAACAGUGAUGACUAUUUUUUGGAAACUGUUCGUCUUCUUCUAUUCUAAACCGUCUUUCCUUUGCCAACUAAUGCAGGAGUCUGACAUCGAUGCCAGUUACUGCUACUGUGUCCGUCCUACACACGCCUCAACUUGCAUUGUGAAACUAUAGAAGUUGCCGUUUGCAUCGCAGCAUGUUUCAGCGUGUAUGGUGCCCUUAGCAGAUUCGUUUGGUCAACAGAUGCUCUCUGUGCCUGUAAACCGCUUUUGUCCUUGUUUUAACGGUAGAAAUUCGCGACAAUUAGCUUAAGAUUUUCUUAAUUUUCACCGACAAUGAGUAUUACUAAACUGAAAAAUCUGCCAGUCACGAAUAUCUUAACCCUUUUGCUAUUAGCGGUGACUAGUCACCCACUGUCGCGCACUCACUGUGUCCUACUGGUGAAUAUAGUCACCCGCUGAUAUUUUUGUACAUAACCAAAAAGUUAUUGUUAUCAAUCAUGUGAUGCAGGUUUAUGUGUGUAUUCUAGUUCUCAAAUGUAUCACACGGAAUUUAACUAUUAAGCAAUUUUUGGGAUCUGAAUAUUUAUAAUGCAUUACAUUAUUAUAUCUCAUCCUUUACCUACUCCUCGAUGAAACGUACGUUCGCGUUUUAAGUGGCUGUUCGGUGGAACCAUAUGCGCGAAAUACAUAAAUACAUAACAAUAAAUUUUAUUAAAAUUCAAUUCCGCUGAUACUAUAGAAAUCAAUAAUUUAUUAUUUGAAUUUGUAUAGAGUUUAUAUAUCAAUGCAAGUUUCAUUAUUUUUCUUCAGUUUCCUGACAAACUUUGAGUGCUUGAUCAAGGUCAGCCAAAAUAUCACGUUCUGUUUCAAGGCCAACAGAUAAACGAAUUAAUUGAUCAGUGAUACCCAAUUCUGUUCUUGUUUCUUCAGGAAGUGAUGCAUGUGUCAUAGCAGAUCUAUGAAGACAAUGUGUAAAUGAAACGUUCUUUCCAAUCAGAUAUACAGAAUGUGCUGUAUAACUCCGCCAACUUUAAUUAUUCUCUUAUUUGUCAGAAUGUAAGAAAUGUAUUGGGAGAAAGUUUUUGUAUUUCAAGAGGGAAAUUAAGAUACAUAAGAGUAAAAGUUUUAAUUCCACAUGUUUUGAGAUUUUAAUGAAAGGAAUAUUUGUUUGAAUGGCACGAUUUGCGACAUUUUCAGUGUACGAUUAUUUCUGUGCCAUAACGCAUUGUUAGAUGCGCUUCAAUUUCACUUUCUUAAUGAUAAGGAAAAAAUAGAUAGUUCUAUUUACAAUAACAUUACCAUGAGUAUAAUCUUAAAAAAUAUUAGAAGUGACCUCGAGAUGAUCUUUAUUUUCUCAGUCGAAUUUUCACCCUGAAAUACAAUAACUUUUCCCCCAUUUUUUUUAUUUCGACAAGAAGGUAAUUAAGGGUGGCAGUGUUAGGUGUGAUACCUUGUAUAACAGAUAUGUAUAUAGUUAUUUACUUACGGUAACUCAGCAAGAGAUUCAGGUCCACCAAGCGAAUCAGCUAAUGCGAACACUUUCAAUGCUGUUAAAAAUUUCCUAGAGUCACCUUUAAGGUAAAAUGAUAUCAUUCCACUAUGACCAGAUGAUUGUCUAAGGGCAAGUUCGUGCUGUGGAUGUGACGGAAGAUCUGAAAUUUAAUUAAUUUAACUGUUGUUAUUAAAUAAUAUAGCAUAGCCAAAUUUAAUUGCAUAAUAAACUCUAACAGCGUCAUGCCACUUGAAAAAACUUGUAAUAUAUUAAAAGUAAUAUGAUAAUAUUCUUUAGAAGUAGUAUACUUUAUACAAACACAUACAUGGGUGAAUUACUUUCUUCACAUAAGGAUGUGAUUCUAAAAAUUUUGCAACUGCUAAUCCAUUUUUCAUGUGUUGUUGCAUUCUGAGUUCUAAUGUUUUUAGACUACGAUUAAUUAAAUAACAGUCGAAAGGUGACGGCACAAUACCCAAAGCUAAAAUAAUGUAAUUAUAAAUAUCAGUUUAAAAUAAAAAGAAAUAGUUGAACAUGUAAGUUACAGAAAUAAUAUAAAUAUACAUUUUUGAAAAAAUCGAAGUUUUUCUGCAAUAGCAUCGUUCCUUGUUACUGCUGCACCAGAAACAACAUCUGAAUGCCCACCCAUAUAUUUCGUUAAAGAAUACAUUACAAUAUCUGCACCUAAUUCUAAUGGCCUCUAUAAUAAAAAUGCACGUAAUACAAUACACUUUAUUAAAUCACAGCAUUGAAUGAAAAGCAUUACCGACCUGAUAGUAACAAGUUAAGAAAGUAUUAUCUACCACUAUAAUAAUUUCAGG